UUUGAAAUCUGGCCUUCGGGUCCGACUUGUAAUCUGCAGAUGGGUCUUCCGGCGAGGCGCGCGUCCWAGUGCCCUGGAAUGGGCCGCCGUAGAGGGUGAGAGCCCCGUACUGGCGCGUGCCGAGCCUCCGUGAAACCCAUUCGACGAGUCGAGUAGUUUGGAAAUGCUGCUCUAAUUGUGGGGUAAAUCUCCCAUAAGGCUAAAUAUCGGCCGGAGACCGAUAGCGCACAAGUAGCGUGAGCGAAAGAUGAAAAGAGCCUUGGAUAAGGGCGUCAAACAGUAUGUGAAAUUGUUAUGGGGGAAGCGCUCGUCGCCAGACGUGGCGGCGGCUGGUUACCCGGCGUCCUCGCCGGCGCACUCUGCCCGCCGCCAGGCCAGCACCGGCUCGGGCCGGGGCCCAAUGCGCGCGGGAACGUGGCUCUCUUCGGGGAGUGUUAUAGCCCACGCGCGACGCCCUGGGCCGGGCCGAGGAUCGCGCAUCUGCUCGGAUGCUGGCUUAAUGGCGCCUAKCGACCCGUCUUGAAACACGGACCAAGGAGUUGACCUGGCGCGCGAGUGUUCGGGUGUCAAGCCCCUACGCGUAGUGAAAGCGAACGCAGGUGGGAGCCCUCUGGGCGCACCAUCGACCGAUCCUGAAGCUCKCAGAUGGAUUUGAGUAGGAGCGCGCCGGGUCUGACCCGAAAGAAGGUGAACUAUGCAUGAAUAGGGUGAAGCCAGAGGAAACUCUGGUGGAGGCUCGCAGCGGUUCUGACGUGCAAAUCGAUCGUCAAAUUUGUGCAUGGGGGCGAAAGACCAAUCG
rnacentral:rRNA from 1 species